rnacentral:rRNA from 1 species
CAUCCUCCAAGGCUAAAUACUCCUGACUGACCGAUAGUGAACCAGUACCGUGAGGGAAAGGCGAAAAGAACCCCGGCGAGGGGAGUGAAAAAGAACCUGAAACCGUGUACGUACAAGCAGUGGGAGCCCCACCACUAAGCCAGUGGUGAACUCCACAUACGCAUCCUUUGCUGAGGAUACGGUUAACGGAGCGAAAGCGACGUUCAACCUCAAAAGAAGCAGAGGGGGCUUAGUGGUGGGGUGACUGCGUACCUUUUGUAUAAUGGGUCAGCGACUUAUAUUCUGUAGCAAGGUUAACCGCAUAGGGGAGCCGGAGGGAAACCGAGUCUUAAUUGGGCGUUAAGUUGCAGGGUAUAGACCCGAAACCCGGUGAUCUAGCCAUGGGCAGGUUGAAGGUUGGGUAACACUAACUGGAGGACCGAACCGACUAAUGUUGAAAAAUUAGCGGAUGACCUGUGGC